rnacentral:ribozyme from 9 species
UCUGAAAAGUAGCGUUUGGAAGAAUACUCCAGUGUUACCAUAUUUUGAUGACGAUUUUGAAGUGUUCCUCAAUCCCUCACAGAAUAAUUAUUUUUAUGUGGAAUACGAGAUGAAUGCGAAAAAUGCAACCUAUUCCACACUAU